UACGUAGGUGGCUAGCGUUGUCCGGAUUUACUGGGCGUAAAGAGCGCGCAGGCGGUCGUUCAAGUCGAGUGUGAAAGCCCCCGGCUCAACUGGGGAGGGUCACUCGAUACUGAUCGACUCGAAGGCAGGAGAGGGAAGCGGAAUUCCCGGUGUAGUGGUGAAAUGCGUAGAUAUCGGGAGGAACACCAGUGGCGAAGGCGGCUUCCUGGACCUGAUCUGACGCUGAGGAGCGAAAGCGUGGGGAGCGAUCCGG
rnacentral:rRNA from 1 species